rnacentral:rRNA from 1 species
GACGAACGCUGGCGGCGUGCUUAACACAUGCAAGUCGAACGCUGAAGCUCAGCUUUUGUUGGGUGGAUGAGUGGCGAACGGGUGAGUAACACGUGAGUAACCUGCCCCCUUCUUUGGGAUAACGCCCGGAAACGGGUGCUAAUACUGGAUAUUCACUGGUCUUCGCAUGGGGGUUGGUGGAAAGGGUUUUUCUGGUGGGGGAUGGGCUCGCGGCCUAUCAGCUUGUUGGUGGGGUGAUGGCCUACCAAGGCUUUGACGGGUAGCCGGCCUGAGAGGGUGACCGGUAACAUUGGGACUGAGAUACGGCCCAGGCUCCUACGGGAGGCAGCAGUGGGGAAUAUUGCACAAUGGGCGCAAGCCUGAUGCAGCGACGCCGCGUGAGGGAUGGAGGCCUUCGGGUUGUGAACCUCUGUCGCUAAUGGUCAAGCCGCAACAAUGGUUGUGGUGAGGGUAGUGGGUAAAGAAGCGCCGGCUAACUACGUG